CUCCCUGUGUGUUUUGUUAGAGUCUUCCCAGUUUAGAUUUUGUAGUUUUUUGUGUUCAGCAAUAAAAGCUGCAAUUUUGAGUUCCGUCCUGUCUCCAGUGAGUUUGCGUUUGGGUCCAAUUCCUGCCGGCACACAGCCGUACUAUGACACCUGGCGCUGAUCUAGCUUCAUCAGAGGAGCUUCAAAACAGUGUGGCUGAGAGCUCCUCGACGCUGGAUCGUUGACUUCCCGAGGAAUUGUGGAGACCAGGAAGCAGCAAACGGACAGUACACAGGGAACGGGCACGGAGCACAGGUUAAAGGAGAAGACACGGAACAGGAGUCGGGAUCGCACAAGAGUUUAGGAGCUGUUUGCCUGUCAAACCACGGACCAUGAGCAUGGAGCGGGAGUCAGGAGCACGUUCAUGGAAACCACUUCUUUCCUUCUGUUUCACGAUUGUUCACAUUUCUCACUGUAAAUAAACACACCGACUCUGAUGGGAAAAUCCUGCAUUUGGUCCCGGUUCUU